rnacentral:rRNA from 1 species
UCCGUAGGGUGCGAUCGUUAAUCGGAAUUACUGGGCGUAAAGCGUGCGCAGGCGGUUUCGUAAGACAGGCGUGAAAUCCCCGGGCUCAACCUGGGAACUGCGCUUGUGACUGCGAGGCUAGAGUGUGUCAGAGGGAGGUGGAAUUCCACGUGUAGCAGUGAAAUGCGUAGAGAUGUGGAGGAACACCGAUGGCGAAGGCAGCCUCCUGGGAUAACACUGACGCUCAUGCACGAAAGCGUGGGGAGAAAACAGG